rnacentral:rRNA from 1 species
AGAGUUUGAUUAUGGCUCAGAUUGAACGCUGGCGGCAGGCUUAACACAUGCAAGUCGAGCGGGGAAGUGUAGCUUGCUACAUUACCUAGCGGCGGUCGGGUGAGUAAUGCUUAGGAAUCUGCCUAUUAGUGGGGGACAACAUUCCGAAAGGAAUGCUAAUACCGCAUACGUCCUACGGGAGAAAGCAGGGGAUCUUCGGACCUUGCGCUAAUAGAUGAGCCUAAGUCGGAUUAGCUAGUUGGUGGGGUAAAGGCCUACCAAGGCGACGAUCUGUAGCGGGUCUGAGAGGAUGAUCCGCCACACUGGGACUGAGACACGGCCCAGACUCCUACGGGAGGCAGCAGUGGGGAAUAUUGGACAAUGGGCGGAAGCCUGAUCCAGCCAUGCCGCGUGUGUGAAGAAGGCCUUUUGGUUGUAAAGCACUUUAAGCGAGGAGGAGGCUACUCUAGUUAAUACCUAGAGAUAGUGGACGUUACUCGCAGAAUAAGCACCGGCUAACUCUGUGCCAGCAGCCGCGGUAAUACAGAGGGUGCGAGCGUUAAUCGGAUUUACUGGGCGUAAAGCGUGCGUAGGCGGCUGAUUAAGUCGGAUGUGAAAUCCCGGAGCUUAACUUAGGAAUUGCAUUCGAUACUGGUCAGCUAGAGUAUGGGAGAGGAUGGUAGAAUUCCAGGUGUAGCGGUGAAAUGCGUAGAGAUCUGGAGGAAUACCGAUGGCGAAGGCAGCCAUCUGGCCUAAUACUGACGCUGAGGUACGAAAGCAUGGGGAGCAAACAGGAUUAGAUACCCUGGUAGUC